GACUGGGGGGGGGGGCAAGUGUUCGUCGGAAUGACUGGGCGUAACGGGCACGUAGGCGGUGAAUCGGGUUGAAAGUGAAAGUCGCCAAAAAGUGGCGGAAUGCUCUCGAAACCAAUUCACUUGAGUGAGACAGAGGAGAGUGGAAUUUCGUGUGUAGGGGUGAAAUCCGUAGAUCUACGAAUGAACGCCAAAAGUGAAGACAACUCUCUGGUUCCCUACCGACGCUGGGGUGCGAAAGCAUGGGGAGCGAACAUG
rnacentral:rRNA from 1 species